UAUGGAAUAAUCAGUAUAAAUUUCCGUUACACAUUGUCCGUUACAUAUUGUAGUGCUGUAUCGUUUACGCGUAAUUCGCGUCAAACUCUGCCGUAGAGAGAAACAACACCGCACAAAAUUCAACCGUACCUAAGAAAUUAAUUGUGAAUUGUGAUUAAUACAGUUAGUCUUGCAACAACUAUACUAACUCAAUACGAUAUUCCAAGAAUGCGAUCGACCAUACAUAUAAGCAAGUUCGACUUGAGACACUAUAGGACGUCUAGGUAUACUAGGAGACCUACAUCUUGGUGGUGUUGAACAUGAUUCAACCAAUUCUUCACUAUCGAUAUUACGUGGUACCAAGGCACCUACUAAUAAUCUUUCAGUAGAUCCAUCAUCGAUACCUCUGCCAAGCCAUCUACCACAAGGGAAUUUAAAUGUGUGCCCUGUAACUUCAUUUCUCACCACAACAUGUUCUACCAUCCAUUUUGGCGAAAGACCUGUAUUGUCAUGUCCUAUACGUAAUGUAGAGAGCACGCCCAAAUUCUUAUGCUAAAAUAAACGUUAUAAAAUUAUGUAAA